rnacentral:rRNA from 1 species
GUGGGGAAUAUUGGACAAUGGGCGAAAGCCUGAUCCAGCAAUGCCGCGUGAGUGAUGAAGGCCUUAGGGUUGUAAAGCUCUUUUACCAGGGAUGAUAAUGACAGUACCUGGAGAAUAAGCUCCGGCUAACUCCGUGCCAGCAGCCGCGGUAAUACGGAGGGAGCUAGCGUUGUUCGGAAUUAUUGGGCGUACAGCGCACGUAGGCGGUUACUCAAGUCAGAGGUGAAAGCCCGGGGCUCAACCCCGGAACUGCCUUUGAAACUAGGUAACUAGAAUCUUGGAGAGGUCAGUGGAAUUCCGAGUGUAGAGGUGAAAUUCGUAGAUAUUCGGAAGAACACCAGUGGCGAAGGCGACUGACUGGACAAGUAUUGACGCUGAGGUGCGAAAGCGUGGGGAGCAAACAGGAUUAGAAACCCGAGUAGUCC